CCAAAUUCAUGAACCCUAGACCUAACCGAUGAAGCGGCGCACCCUCACUAUUCACCAUCUCCUUCACUGAGCUUGCCCUCAACUCGCCAUAACUCAUUUUCGAGUUCGCUCACAUGGUUCCCUCCCCUCCACGUCACCUUCAUUCCCAACGGAUUUGUCAGAAUAGUACGAAUAUUCCCUCAAAAUUGCACAAUUUUGGGUACAAAAGGAUGAUUUACUGGAUGAAUGGGAGUCCUGGAUAGAUGUAAAUCAAUCCACGCCCUUCAUUUGUCCCAAAAUUUUUCAAAAAGACCUGAAGAUUUUUCGGAUUUUGGCAGAAAUUUGAAGAUUUUUUGAAGGCUAUAUGUAUAUGAGGUAAGUCUGUGUGCUAGGUUAGAAGAAAAAUCUGAGGUAAAAUCUAGGGAAAUUUUUAGGGUUCUAAGAAUUGUCACUCUCCUUCAAGCCAUUUCUUUUUAGUCUGCUUCUUUUUCUCUUCAGAGAAACAUACAAAAGCACAAUGGUUUGAGUUCAUUUUUUAUUCGAGUUUUACUUCAUUCUUUUUCAAGAGAAAAAUCAAAAGAAAAAUCACUGAGCAGACAUUUUUUUUUUGCACUUGUUCUUCUUCUUAAGUUUUGGUUCUCAAAUAUAUUUGAUUUAAAGGUUCAAGUUGGGAUUGAGUUUGGGAUUCGAAAUUGCAGUGUCGAGUUGGUUCAAAGUGGUCGAUUCCUAUUUUUUUGCUGUUCGUUUCAAGCUUUGAGUUGCGGCGUUGUUCGACUUGGUUUAAGUUGUAAUCACUGAAGUUUUGUCAAUUGAAAGCUACAAUUUCAGGUUCAUUCUUCAUUUUUUUUUUAUUAUUAAAUGAUUCUGUGCAGUGAUUGUUUUCUUUGAGCUUAUGAAUAGUGUAUUUCAAGUGCUGAAAAUGUGAAUUUAGUGCUUCGACGAAACGAACAAGUCUUUUUAUUCCUUUCUUCAGAUUGAUUUUUUUGUGAGCCGAAUUUGUGACUUUCUGUAGAUGGCUCCUUACUCUUCUGAAGUUCUUAUGUUUGCCUAGUUGUCUUGAGGUGUCCAAAUUUCCAGUGAAAUCUUGUUGUGUUUGCUGAAGAGGAACUAAACUUUAUGUUAGAUUGUAAAUUCAAUUUGAUUUUUCUGGGCUGAUUUUUCGAGUGCUGGAAGUAAAACUAUGGUGCUAUGUUGAAAUGUUUUGGUCGUGCAUUCAUUAUCUAUGAUCAGGCAUUGUUUGUUUCAUUCCCAGAUGUGCAUACAGUCUUGAGGCAUAUGGUUUAAGAAGUUUAAGGUUAUCACAAUCAUGAUUUAUGAAAAGUUGUCGAAUUGGCCUGAGUCUCCUCUCUCUAAUUAAUCUCUGAUGCUAGCAAGUUACUUUUGAUGAAGUUUAUUUACUGCUGAUGUUAAUUCCUAUGACGACCAAGUGAUCAGUAUGCCUAACGUGAUGACAACAGUAGCGAGACAGUCGUAACGUCAUUUGAUUUGCUGUGUAGCCCAUCUAAUUUCAAGAGUAUCCUGUCUCAUCUUCAUAGCUAAUUGAACUGUAUGUUGUAUCUGUACUAUUAAUUGUCCAGUUAAUUUCAUUACUCUUAGAGCUUAUAGAUGCCUAUGUGACUGUACUGAAGCAACAGACCUUUCUAUCGUUUUCUUGCUGCCUAUCUCGACUGAGUGAUGCUGAAAAUUCUUGUUUCUAUUUUGAGCAUGUAUAUUUGAGUUUUGUUAUGAAAUAAAAGCAAUUUAGUAAAAUAUGAACAAGAAAUAAAGACAAUUUAGUGAAACAUGAACAAGAAAUAGAGAUAGAGAGAAAAGAAGAGAUUUUCUUCUUCAAUUGUAUGCAUUUUUCUAUCUAUUACAAGNN
rnacentral:lncRNA from 1 species